CUCACUGAACGAUGAAUGCA
rnacentral:miRNA from 2 species